GCCGGUGCAGCACGACAGGUCGUGCAGCCGUUUCGUAAUCGGCAGGUAGCGGGUUCGAGUCCCGCCGCCGGCUC
rnacentral:tRNA from 1 species